rnacentral:rRNA from 1 species
GGCGCCGGCGAUAGCACGUUGAAUGCACUAGGUUCCCCACGGAUCACUCAAGUUAAGCAACGUUGCGUGUGGUUAGUACCUGGAUGGGUGACCAUCUGAGGAAUUCGCUGUUGCUUCA